AAAAAAAAAAAAAAAAAAUUUCAAGUGCUAAUAACUAGUUUCUUUUCUUUGAGUCUAAUGCAAGCUGCUUCUUUACUUUCAAUAUCACAAAUACACAAUCCAUUUACUGCAAAACAAACCACAUUUUAAAAAGAAGGAUACAGUGGAAGAAGAAGACGAUUUGGGGUCAGACCUCAUGUGAAAAACAAGCUCCAAUCAAAAUAAGUGUUCUUGUGAUAUCUUUCAAUUUCAAAACUUGAAUGUACUCUCACAUUGGUCACCUUCUUUUGUGUCGUUGCCCAAUGCCCACCAAUAUAAACGCAACUUGCAUUCUACUUACAUUGAAGAUUAGAUUUCAUUUAUGCUUAAAAAAAAAUGUUGAAUCUAAAACAAUCGCAUUGGUUUGUUCAGUGCAGAGUCACCAAAAAGAAUUAUUGUUUUCUUUAUAUUAAAUAAAGUUGUUAGAAUAAUAAAUAUUUUUAUAUAAAAGGAAGAAGCCAUGAUUUACAUUGAUGUCCUACAAUCUUGUAUUUGCAGCAACUUAAUUAUUCACUUGUCCCCUCUUUUUUCUUCAUAAAAAUUGUACAAUUUUAGGCUCUAAAAAUCAGAAACAGUGGUAAGGUGGAGAUGGCUCUUCUCUUCUCUUUUUUUCUCCUGUAGUUUUGGCCCUUGCUUAGGAUUAAACUCAUUAAGCUGCUACCAGAGGAAAAGAAAAUGACUGCUGCAAAGGAAGACAAAAGAUUGAGUGAAAAGAAGAAAAUGGAAGUAGAGGAUAGCUUGAGGACUUUAGAAUGUCUAAGAGGAAGAUUGCUUGCAGAGAGACAAGCUUCAAGGGUUGCUAAAGAGGAAGCACAGCUCAUGGGUAAUAAGUUGAUAGAGCUGGAGAACAAACUCAGAGAAGAGACCAAACUGAGGCAAAAAGCUGAAAAGAAGCUUAAAUUUUUGAAGAAGAAGCUCGAGUCCUUGAAAAUUUCUCCCGCAUUAGAGGAAUUAGAUCAGUCAAAUUCAUAUGAGAAUUGUGGGUCUUCUUGCACAUCAUCUACAAGCACAUCAGGCCCCAAAGACCCUGAAGAAUCUGCAUUCUCUCAAGAUAUGAAGGAUAAUGUCCAAGACACAACUGCAUUUUUUCAAAAUCAUUCUACUUUAGAUUCUAACUCUGAUCCUAAACUCAAAGAUUCUCCACUGCACAAAUCUAGCUGCCAGUAUGCUUCAAGUUGUCAAGAUUCAAAAGCAGAUUCUCAUUCUAAGAGGUAAACCCAAUUCAACCUGCAUUGCCUUUUUUUUAAUUUCUUUAUAUUGUUAAAAGUAACUCAUAAUUUGCUAGAUAGGAUUUGUUUAAUCUAAUUGUAGAUGAAUGCUGAUGAUGUAUUUCAGCUGUUCUACCUUAGAAGCUGCUAAGGAGAGAAAUGGAAGAUGUGAGAGUGACACAGAGGAUUAUGUGGAUAACUCAUUGGCAUUAGUUCCUGUGAAUGUGGCUGCACCGACCAAGACCAGUGAGUUGAAGAUAGUGAACAAAAGUAUUAGUGAAGUUCUUGAUGCUUUAAGGCAUGCCAGAGAAAAGAUACAGAGCUCAAUGGAGAGAAGAAACAUGAUUAGAGUUGGGCCAAGUUGAAUGCAUUGUGUGUUAAUAGUAAUGAUGUUAGUUAUACCACCUAGCAGAAAGGGACACUAAGAUAGGAUGGUCCUUGAUUAAUGUUCUUUUUGCACUGAAAGAAAAUGGCCAAACAAAGAUUAGGAUUAGAGUGUUGGUCAAAAUUAGUAUUUUAUUUAUGAGACCACUAAAUGGGUAAUAAAGUUAUGUGACUGUGAUGAUAAAGAACAUGUGAAGUGAAGAAUUCUUGGAGAUUUUCUGUCUAGAUGAUGCUUUAAGCUGGGUCCCAACUUUGCUAUCUACUUUUUGAUUGAAUCUUGAAUUCUUGAUGGGUUGAGUGUGGUCACUUGAUGCCUGUGAGUGACCUGCAUUCACAUGUUGUACGAUCUUGGGAUUUACUAAUUUGCUUUUGCAGUUUGGUGCUUUUGUUAUCUGCAUUAAUAGAAGCUUAUUCUUGACUAAAGCCUAAAUGGGUCAAAAGAAUGAGUUAUGUUUCUGUAAUUAACCUAGUCAAGCUCAAGAAUAUAUUGUAGCGGGCGCAAGAGAAUGUACAAAUGCUUUUAGAAAG
rnacentral:misc_RNA from 1 species